rnacentral:rRNA from 1 species
GAUGAACGCUGGCGGCGUGCCUAAUACAUGCAAGUCGAGCGAACGGACGAGAAGCUUGCUUCUCUGAUGUUAGCGGCGGACGGGUGAGUAACACGUGGAUAACCUACCUAUAAGACUGGGAUAACUUCGGGAAACCGGAGCUAAUACCGGAUAAUAUUUUGAACCGCAUGGUUCAAAAGUGAAAGACGGUCUUGCUGUCACUUAUAGAUGGAUCCGCGCUGCAUUAGCUAGUUGGUAAGGUAACGGCUUACCAAGGCAACGAUGCAUAGCCGACCUGAGAGGGUGAUCGGCCACACUGGAACUGAGACACGGUCCAGACUCCUACGGGAGGCAGCAGUAGGGAAUCUUCCGCAAUGGACGAAAGCCUGACGGAGCAACGCCGCGUGAGUGAUGAAGGUCUUCGGAUCGUAAAACUCUGUUAUUAGGGAAGAACAUAUGUGUAAGUAACUGUGCACAUCUUGACGGUACCUAAUCAGAAAGCCACGGCUAACUACGUG